GAUGAACGCUAGCGGCAGGCUUAAUACAUGCAAGUCGUGGGGCAGCAUGAGUAGCAAUACUUGAUGGCGACCGGCAAACGGGUGCGGAACACGUACACAACCUUCCGAUAAGUGGGGAAUAGCCCAGAGAAAUUUGGAUUAAUACCCCGUAACAGAUAGAGUAGGCAUCUUCUUUAUAUUAUAGCUUCGGCGCUUCUUGAUGGGUGUGCGUCUGAUUAGGUAGUUGGCGGGGUAACGGCCCACCAAGCCUACGAUCAGUAGCUGAUGUGAGAGCAUGAUCAGCCACACGGGCACUGAGACACGGGCCCGACUCCUACGGGAGGCAGCAGUAAGGAAUAUUGGACAAUGGGCGAAAGCCUGAUCCAGCCAUGCCGCGUGAAGGAUUAAGGUCCUCUGGAUUGUAAACUUCUUUUAUUUGGGACGAAAAAAGGGAAUUCUUUCCACUUGACGGUACCAAGUGAAUAAGCACCGGCUAACUCCGUGCCAGCAGCCGCCGUAA
rnacentral:rRNA from 1 species